UACGUAGGGUGCAAGCGUUGUCCGGAAUUAUUGGUGCGUAAAAGGGCGCGUAGGCGGAUGGCACAGUCAGAUGUGAAAUUCCCGGGCUUAACCUGGGGGCUGCAUUUGAUACGUGUUGUCUUGAGUUCGGAAGAGGGUCGUGGAAUUCCCAGUGUAGAGGUGAAAUUCGUAGAUAUUGGGAAGAACACCGGUGGCGAAGGCGGCGACCUGGUCCUUGACUGACGCUGAGGCGCGAAAGCGUGGGGAGCAAACAGGAUUGAGA
rnacentral:rRNA from 1 species